AUCAGUGACUGUCCAGUCCUUUCACAGACACUGACACAGGUAGCAUUAUGAUGAUGUCAUACUUUGUACUGCUGGUGAUGCUGGGACUCCUUGUACAGGGAUCAAUGGCAGAUAUAAUCCUGACUCAGUCUCCAGCAGCUCGGUCUGUUCAGCUGGGAGACACUGUCUCUAUCAGCUGUACAGCCAGUGAGAGUGUGAGCAAUUGGCUCCACUGGUACCUGCAGAAACCUGGUCAGGCUCCUAAACUUCUGAUUUGUUGGGC